AACGAACGCUGGCGGCAUGCCUAACACAUGCAAGUCGAACGAGAUCUUCGGGUCUAGUGGCGCACGGGUGCGUAACGCGUGGGAAUCUGCCCUUUGGUUCGGAAUAACAGUUGGAAACGACUGCUAAUACCGGAUGAUGACGAAAGUCCAAAGAUUAUCGCCAGAGGAUGAGCCCGCGUAGGAUUAGCUAGUUGGUGUGGUAAAGGUGCACCAAGGCGACGAUCCUUAGCUGGUCUGAGAGGAUGAUCAGCCACACUGGGACUGAGACACGGCCCAGACUCCUACGGGAGGCAGCAGUGGGGAAUAUUGGACAAUGGGCGAAAGCCUGAUCCAGCAAUGCCGCGUGAGUGAUGAAGGCCUUAGGGUUGUAAAGCUCUUUUACCCGGGAUGAUAAUGACAGUACCGGGAGAAUAAGCUCCGGCUAACUCCGUGCCAGCAGCCGCGGUAA
rnacentral:rRNA from 1 species